rnacentral:antisense_RNA from 1 species
AGUCAUGGUUACUAUUCCUAUUAAUAGUGAUUGUGAUGAGCGGUGCGGAUGUGUUGGCGCACAUCCGCAUCGCGU